CCUGCUAGAUCCUUCAUGAAACCAAACUUCUCCGACAGAUCAUCUUCAAACGAGCUUCCACAUCAGGCGAAUCCCAGAUGGACUUCUCUAGCAAUCAGAUUUCUAUCGGGUUUCACCAACGAAAAGUCUCCAUCCGAGCUUCUACAGUAGAUGACUCCCACCUGUAGUAUCAGUGCCUAAGGUAUCCGACAAUAGUAGACUCGUUAGCAGCCUCGAAGACAUCCGAGCUUCUCCCAGAUCGAUGGGAUAGAGAGCCAUCCCGCUCCAUCAGAUGUUCCAGCUGAGCUCCAGCCAACAGAUCCGAACUCUCUGGCAAGUCACGACAAUGGCCACGACCCUGCUCCACUCUCUGCAAUGGAUUCCACGUGGCUCCACUACUCUCUGGCAAGUCACGACAAUGGACACCACUCUACUCUCCGUAACAAACUCCACGUGGCUCUGAAUGACUCUUGACGCCACUACUCUCUGUAACAAACUCUGGGUGGCUCUGAACAGCCCACUACCAGGCGGUUAUAGACGUCGUUGUCAAUU
rnacentral:lncRNA from 1 species